rnacentral:lncRNA from 1 species
UGUUUUUCUUUUGGACCGCCACCCAGGUUCAAAGGGAUCAUGAGAUUAUUCAUGCUAGAAACUUCCGUGUGCAGCCGCAAGCUAUUAUGGGCUCUAGCAUAGUCGAGUAAGUUGUGGGAAACCUUUCCAUGAUGGGCUAGCAGAUGUAGGGGAUUGUAGGUGUAUUGGCCUAUCUAUCGGUUAAGGGGACCUCUUCGGAAAGACUGUGUCUCGGUCAUCCGUUUCUCAAACAUCAUGUAGUGCGAGAAUCAAGCGGAGGCGAUCGAGUCUUGUGGGAAAAGUGCACAAACCUCUGCAGAGUGUAUAAACUAAUCAUGGUUAGCCGUGUCCCCGGUUAUGGACGUUUUGAGUAUCUAGUAUCUGGAUUAUCAUGUGAAUCUCAUCACCAUGUUACUUUAAUUAAUUUUGUUGGGUUAAUGAUGAUAACUUAAUUGGGAUUGAGAUGAUGUCAACCAUCUCAAUGUUUAACAACCACCAUGAUAGUUAAAUAAAAUUUAUUCCUUUGCAGUAGGGAAAAAUUGGCUUUUCGCAAAACAGUAACCAUAGAGCUUUCCACCAGCCAAAUAUGCAUGUAGUUAUAGCAUCAUUCUGUUCAUUACUCUCUAUGUGUUAUUUUGCCAGCAUAUUCCAUGUGCUGACCCGUUUCGGGCUGCAACGUUUCAUGUUGCAGACUUUUCAGACGACGAGUAAGGUGCCUUAGGUCGUGGUCUUAUACUCAGUGAUGCCGUUGGAGUUAAUGGACUCACUUAUCUUCCAAGUCUUCCGCUGUUAUCAUAUUUAGAUGACCUUAAGCCAUAUUUAUCAUACUUAUUUAUCUUGUGAGAUACUCGUUGUAAUAAGUGUGUGAUUGCUACUCUGUAUAAAUCCUCCAUUUGUACUGUGCGUGUCAGCAUUACUGAUCCAGGGAUGACACUGGUGCACAGAAGCACAGAUUGUUUGAGGUCUGGUCGCUACAAAGGUGGUAUCAGAGCACACGUUCACUGUAGGACACGACCACUAAGUUUAAACCCUAGAACACUACUCUCUUCUCAUUUCUUACUCCUCUCCAUUUUCUACUCUUUUAGGAAUGGCGGAUGCAAGGAACAAGUUCAUGCAACCAGAUGAAGAUACACCCUUUGGAUGCCACUUGAAGGAAGUCACUAGAUACCUAAACAUCGGAAUUCCAAGCUUCACCAGAACCUACAACGCCACACUACCAGAAGAAGAGCGCUGGAAGAUUCAAGUUCAAGUUCCAGGAAGGACGUUUACGCCAGUCACUGAGCCUAUAGAGUUUUCCUUUGAUGCACCAACCUGGAGUUUAGGGAAGAGCAUGGCAGCCCACAUCUCUAUGGGACGCAUUGGAGAAGUGUACCACAGGGAGCUUAAGGAUACUAUCUACCAGAUUUGUGGACGCCGAGAUGAGCAAUGGGAGAUGAUCAGCACCAAGAAGGAUGGAUCAAUUGCAGCUUUCAUCCAGGAGCAAAACCAACACAUUCAUCGCCAGGAGAACCAGAUGUGCGUAGACAUGAUAGGUCUAAAGAAGGCAUUGACCAAGAUCACGGAGUUGGAGGAAGAACUCAAGGCUACACGCGAUGGAUAUGAGGAGGAAAUCGCAACACUAUUGGAGAAAAAUGAAGACCUGAUAAAGAAGAUCGGAGUUUUCAUGGGAGACCCAGCACCUGGAGGACAAGACGACGAUUCUACUUGCCCGGAUAACUACAUCAUCAUCGACGACACCGACUUGGACCCAAGUGAAGAUGACUAUGUUGAUGAAGCUGGAGCAGAUAUCAUGGAGUCUUCGGCUGAUCAAAAUUUCUAGUAGACCACCAUAAUCAGUAGUAGUAUUUUCCCCCAUGUAUAUAGUAUAGUCCGAGCACGUAGUAACGACAGUUUGAUCGAUUGUAUGCCUUGUUGAUUGAGUGAUAUUGUUGGUGUUUGUCUCAUGAGCAUAUGGGUAGUGUUUUCUCUCUAGACCUCAUUCUAUUCUAUAUCUCAUCUUUUCUAAACCUAUCAGAUGCCUCCGAGAGGCGACACCGGAUUUGUUUUUCCACCGGAGAUCACUCAGUUGAUUCAGCAGCAGAAUGCACUGAUGCAAGUAUUAGUACAGAACCAAGGCAACAACAACAACAACAACAACAACCCACCACCACCUGUUGAUCACUUAACCCGUUUCUUGAGGCUAAAUCCGCCGGUGUUUUCCAGCAGCACCGAGCCGAUUGUUGCAGAUGAUUGGCUCCGCAAAGUUGGAAGGGAGUUGACCACUACAGGAUGCACAGAUGCGGAGAGAGUGCGUUUUGCCGCACAUCAGCUUGAUGGACCCGCAACAUCAUGGUGGGAGAAUUACACAGCCACACACCCUAUUGACACUGUCACAUGGGACCAGUUUCAGCAAGCUUUCCGUACUGCCCAUGUUUCAGCAGGAGCUAUGGCUAUGAAGAAGCGUGAGUUUCGCAACCUACGCCAAGGAGGACGCACCAUAGGCCAGUAUGUGGAGGACUUUAGUAAGUUAGCACGUUAUGCUCCAGAUGACAUUGCUACAGAUGCAGCCAAGCAGGAGAAUUUUCUGGAAGGACUGAAUGAUGAGCUGAGCUUGCAGCUGAUGGUAGCAACCUUCAACAACUACCAGGAGUUGGUAGAUAGAGCUCUCAUGAUUGAAGGGAAGCAGCAGCAGCUUGAAAACCGUAAGAGGAAGUAUGGACAAGGGAAGUACAAUUCUGGAGCUCAGCAGAAGCCACGUUUUACCCCGAAAUCGGGAGGACAUUUUCAGCAUACCCAUGGAGGAGGUAGUUCGCACAACCAUAAUGGCCCCAAGAAUGGCAAUGGGAAUGGAGGAAGCAAUGGCCAGAACCGUACCAACCCUUCAACCCCAGCUAAGAGAGACCUGAGCCAAGUCACUUGCUUUAAGUGCCAGAAGACUGGACAUUAUGCCAAUGAAUGUCCUGAAGCCCAGAAUGGAAAUGGCAAUGGAAGCUCUGGGAAGAAGCCGAACCCUUUCAACAAAGGACAUGUGAACCACGUUAGCGUGGAAGAGGUUGAAGCUCAGCCAGAUGCAGUAAUAGGCAAGUUUUUGGUUAAGUCAUUUACUGCACUCGUUCUUUUUGAUACUGGUGCAUCGCAUUCAUACAUAUCAAGGGGAUUUGUGGAUAAGUAUAAACUGCCCACCAAGGUUCUUAAAACACCUAUGUUAGUAAGUUCACCAGGAGCAGAGUAUAUGGCAAGCCAAGGAUGUUUUCAGAUGCCAUUGGCCAUAGGUAGGCAUGUUUUCCCCUCAGACUUGAUAAUCUUGGAGUCGCAAGGUUUGGAUGUAAUUUUGGGUAUGGAUUGGUUAUCGAAGUAUGGAGGGAACAUUGAUUGCGCCAGUAAGACGAUUUCUCUUACCACCCCAGAAGGAAGAAGGAUUAAGUAUGUAUCCCGGCAUGUGCCGAAGAGGACUCAAGUGAAUUCCUUAUCAGGCGUUGUACAGGAGGAAGUACCAGUGGUGAAGGAUUACCCGGAUGUAUUUCCAGAAGAGUUGCCAGGCAUGCCACCCGAUAGAGACAUCGAGUUUCUGAUCGAGCUUUUGCCAGGCACAGGACCAAUAUCUAAGAGACCGUACAGGAUGCCCGCAAAAGAUUUGGAGGAGAUUAAGAAGCAGAUUAAGGAGUUACUGGAUAAAGGCUAUAUUCGCCCAAGUUCGUCACCUUGGGGAUCGCCGGUACUUCUAGUGGAGAAGAAGGAUGGAUCAUUAAGGAUGGUCGUUGAUUAUCGUGGAUUGAAUGAAGUGACCAUCAAGAAUAAGUACCCACUGCCGAUGAUCAAUGAUUUGUUUGACCACUUACAAGGAGCUAAGGUAUUUUCCAAGAUCGAUCUACGAUCAGGAUACCAUCAGUUGAAGAUUCGAGAGCAGGAUAUACCAAAGACAGCUUUUACCACCAGGUAUGGGCUGUAUGAGUAUACCGUUAUGUCAUUUGGUCUGACUAACGCACCUGCCUAUUUCAUGAACCUGAUGAACAAAGUGUUUAUGGAGUUUUUGGAUAAGUUCGUCGUAGUGUUCAUUGAUGACAUUUUCGUCUACUCAAAGAAUGAAGAGGAGCAUAAGGAGCAUUUGCGUUUGGUACUUGAGAAGCUCAGAGAACAUCAGCUAUACACCAAGUUCAGCAAAUGUGAGUUUUGGCUGAAGGAAGUUGGAUUCCUCGGACACGUUAUAUCCGGAGAAGGAAUAGCAGUAGACCCCACCAAAGUUGACACAGUAACAAACUGGGAAUCACCCGCAUCAGUUGGAGAAAUCCGGAGUUUUCUUGGACUUGCAGGAUACUACCGGAGGUUCAUUGAGAAUUUCUCGAGGAUUGCUAAGCCCGUGACUGAGCUAUUGAAGAAAGACACCAAGUUCAAUUGGACUGAGGAUUGUGAAGCUAGUUUUCAGGAGUUGAAGAAACGUUUGGUUACAUCACCAGUGUUGAUCCUGCCAGAUCAACGCAAGGAUUAUGAAGUUUAUUGCGAUGCUUCUCGUCGAGGACUUGGAGCAGUGCUUAUGCAGGAGGGAAGAGUUGUUUCAUAUGCUUCACGACAACUUAAACCCCAUGAGAAGAAUUAUGCCACCCAUGAUUUGGAGUUAGCAGCCGUGGUACAUGCGUUGAAGACAUGGAGACAUUUUCUCAUCGGAAAUCACUGUGAGGUGUACACGGAUCACAAGAGUUUGAAGUACAUUUUCACGCAAAAGGAGUUGAAUCUCAGGCAAAGGAGAUGGUUGGAGCUCAGAAAGGAUUAUGAUAUGAGAUUGCAUUAUCAUCCCGGAAAGGCUAACGUAGUAGCAGACGCGUUGAGCCGCAAGAGCCAUGUCAACACACUCAUGACCGGAGAGGUACCGAAAGUAUUAGCCGAGGAUAUUCGCGAGCUAUGUUUGGAGAUAGUACCGAGAGGCUAUUUAGCAACGUUGGAGAUUCAGUCUACCUUGAUGGAAAAGAUCAGGGAAGCUCAAAAGACAGACAAGGAGAUUGAUGAGAUAAAGAAAAGGUUGAGCAAAGGAAAAGCCAAGGGAUUUCGCGAGGAUGAGCACGAUACCUUAUGGUUUGAGGACCGAGUUUAUGUGCCCAAUGAUCCGCAGAUCAGGAAGUUGAUCUUGCAAGAGGCCCAUGAUUCACCGUAUUCGAUUCACCCAGGAAAUACCAAGAUGUAUUUGGAUUUGAAGGAUACUUUCUGGUGGACCGGAAUGAAGAAGGAUAUUGCGGAGUAUGUAGCAGUUUGUGAUGUAUGUCAGAGAGUAAAGGCAGAGCAUCAGAAGGCAGCAGGAUUGCUACAGCCAUUGCCGAUACCCGAAUCGAAGUGGGAUAAACUAGGCAUGGAUUUUAUCACGGGAUUGCCCAGGACUCGUUCAGGCUAUGACUCGAUAUGGGUUGUAGUCGAUCGUUUGACGAAAGUAGCUCAUUUCAUCCCAGUGAAGACCACUUACACCAGUGCUAAGUUGGCAAAAAUAUACAUGACCAGAAUCGUAUGUCUGCAUGGAGUUCCGAGGACCAUUGUAUUAGAUAGAGGAACCCAGUUUACCUCGAAGUUUUGGAAUCAGUUACAUGAAACUUUGCGAACCAGGCUAGAAUUCAGUACAGCUUUUCAUCCACAGACAGAUGGACAGACCGAGAGAGUCAAUCAGAUUUUGGAGGACAUGUUGAGAGCUUGUGCGCUAGAUUAUGGAUCUAGUUGGGACGACAAUUUGCCGUAUGCAGAGUUUUCUUACAACAACAGUUAUCAAACCUGUUUGAAGAUGGCCCCUUUCGAAGCUUUGUACGGAAGGAGGUGUAGAACACCAUUGUUAUGGGACGAAGUUGGAGACCGCCAGUUGUUUGGACCAGAUUUGAUUAAAGAGUCCGGACGGAAAGUGAAGUUGAUUCGCGAUAGGCUCAAGGUAGCCCAAUCCAGGCAGAAGAGUUAUGCGGAUUCUAAACGCAAGGAGACAGUUCACGAAGUCGGAGACAGAGUUUAUCUUCGUGUAUCACCACUUCGAGGAGUGAAGCGCUUUGGAGUUAAAGGAAAGUUAGCGCCACGUUUUGUAGGACCAUACAAAGUAUUGGAGCGUAUGGGAGAAGUUGCUUACAAGCUGGAAUUGCCUGAAGGAUUGUCAGGAGUACAUGCUGUAUUUCACGUUUCCCAGUUGAAGAAGUGCCACGCAGAGAUGGCCGAGAUACCACUGAAAGAUACGGUGCCAUUGGAAGCGAUUCAGUUGGAUAGUGACUUGACCUAUGAGGAGAAACCAGUUAAGAUUCUCGAGUAUGCCAGCCGAGUCACCCGCAGCAAGGUUAUCAAGUUUUGCAAAGUUCAGUGGAGUCACCACACGGAAGAUGAAGCCACCUGGGAGCGAGAGGAAGAUCUAUGGAAGAACCACUCUCACCUAUUUUCCAGCCAACCCGAAUCUCGAGGGCGAGAUUCAUCUUAAGGGGGUGGUAGGUUUGUAACAUCCCAAAUUUUCAAUUUGGAAUGUUAUACAUUAGAUCAUCAUUGCAUAGCAUAUCUUAUUGCAUUUUGGCAAAUCCUUGAAAAUCCUAAGCAACUCAAGGACCCUCGGAGAGAGUUGGGGAUUUUGCCCGGUUUUCAUAUUUGAUUUUUAUCAAAUAAGUGAAACGAGGAUUUUUGGUUUUAAUUAUUUUUCUCUCCGAAAAUAUUUCAUAUUAAAAUAAAUGAGAGGAGAAAAUAUGACUUCUCCAAAAUAAUUGAAAUAUUGGAGGAAAAAUAUUAAAAUCAAAUAUUUGAUUUUAUUCGGAUUUUAUUUGCAAUUUUAUUUGCGUUAAAAAAAUUGCAUGUUUUAAAAACUGCAUUUUUAGGGCCAAGAAAAUGUUCACCUCGUUCUAAUUAUUUUGAUUAGGCAGUGAAAUUUUAUUUGGGCAAUUUUAGUUUUUUAUUUAUUUUUCUAUGAUUUUUUUUAGGUUCGGCGGAAUUAAUUUAAAAAAAACGCACGAGCGCCGACUGGGCCGAAGCCCAGCCUAGCCGCGCGAGCCGUCUCCCUCCCGGAGACCUAGCUCCCGCCGCCGCCCGAGUCCCGGUCGGGGACGACGCCGCCGCUGCCUUACCCCUCCCCCACGGCACCCCCCUCCUAUAUAUACCCCGCCACCCCGCCGCCUCCCUCACCCCGUUCCCUGCCUCGACCGAAGCCGCCGACGCCGGAGCUGACCCCGCCACCGAGAGGAGCUCGCCGCUUGUUGAGGAUAUAGACCUUAGAGUCACCCGCCCGGUGGGGCCGGGUUACUCAUAAGGGUCAUCGCCUGAAGCCCGGCGCCAAGCUUGAAGACGGUGGGCCAAAGAUGGGCUUAUGACCCGGUGACGGCUUAAGGCCCGUAGUCACAACCGCCUUUAGAUAGAACUUGUAGUAGGCAAGGAUAGUUGAGAGUCCGAGCUGGACACUCUUAUGAGCCGGCCGGGACUCUGAAAGCCGCUGGGUGUCAGCCUCUCUAUAUAAAGGGAAGACCCGGCAGUGGUUUAGGGACAAGGAAGAUCUCAUCAAGAGCCAGGCCUAGCAAUUAAGCUCCCUAGUCCUCGAAACCCUAAUCAAUACCACCUCAACUGGACGUAGGCUUUUACCUUCACCGUAAGGGGCCGAACCAGUAUAACCCUCGUGUUUCUUGUCCCGUUUAACCCCUUCAAGCUUCCUAGUUGCGAUGGCUCCACGACUAAGUCCUAGCUCGAGGACAUCUGCCGUGAUAAUUCCAGGACAGUUGGCGCCCACCGUGGGGCCAGCGCACGAUGGAUUUGAGUUCUUGAAGGGCAGCUUCGAAGGGCUCAAGGGAUACGCUAUGGGCCGGAUGACCAAGAGUCAUCGCGGCAAGCUCUACAUCGACGAUGCAAACUAGGGCCCUGACGCCGGCUCAAUUGAGUACGGAUACCGGGUCCCCUUCGGCGGAAUUCAUGCUUUCAUUGGCAAGAUUGGUGAGCCGGGCCCUGAGCCGGAUCUCUGCGCCGAUCUCGUCGAAACGGCUCAGCACGCACGACCCGCCCUGGCCCUGCCUGCCUUGAAGCAUGCUUUUGUGGGAUAUAUCCAUGGAGGGCUCUCCGACAGAUCUGGAUCUGGUGAUGAGACGGCCGCCGGCUCUGACGGCGAGUCGUCUACAGAUGAGUCAAACUCGUUGUAUCAACUUCAAGAUGGCAGGCUCAUGGGAUGUUCCGAUGGUGACAGCAUUCCGGACCCGUUUGAGCCGCCGAGCCGGGUUGGAAUCUUCAUGGCCGGUGCCCAGCCCGUUCAGAAUCCCACCGCCGGGUCAGGAAAUCCGGUGCCCUCGCCGGCUCAGGUGCUGAUGGAUCUCAUGGACAAGAUGACGGCCCUGUUAACCGCCACGGUUGACCCGGCGGAUCAAGCUCAGCAUGACGCGGAGGUGGCACAGUUAAAGUUAGAUCUAGUGAAAGCCAAGGAGGAUCUAGCAGCGGAAGGGAUCAGGAUGGCUGCGGAGAGGGCGGCUCUCGACGCCCAGACUCAGUUGAUUCAGGCGCAGUCCUUCCAGCUCACGAUGGAUCAGAACGCGUCCAACGAGGUCAUGAGAAGGAGGCAUCAAAAGGCCCAAUCACGACUCCCUCCGGUCUACGAUCCUCGGAACCUCUUCAACACGCCAGGUGCAGGGUCUAGUAACCCGCCGGGAGUCGUAGUGCCCGGGUCUGGGACCCCUGUUAUGGGGCCUCCCCGGGUGAACCCUGCCCCGCCUCAGUAUGUGCCAAUACCACCGGGUCAUUAUGCUAACCCGCUGGAAAACAUGGUCGCCGCAGCAGCAUGGCUGGCGGCUCUCCCAAUUGAUGGCGACUCUCCAACGGCUGUGGAAACCCGCCGGGUCAGAGAACUCCUUCAGACAGUGCUGGCACAGCAGGAGGCGUACUCUUACAGCUGAGACAGGAUCCAUUCAACCCCUCGUCCAGGCCGGAGCCCGAGUUAUAGCAGGCACAUGGUUUCUGCGCCCGGCUCAAGUAACGUCCGACGCCAUGACUUGCCACCUGGUCAUGGCCCGGCUCAUAACGAAGUCUUUCACGCGAUAGACCAAGACAGAGUGCGGCAAGGGGCGGAGCAGGUGCCUCAGUUGACGGCUUACCAGACGCCCCCGGCUUAUCCGACGGCUUCCAUCGACGUGGGUAUCCCUACAAGGACUGGGGGUGUCCCCUGUUUAGUGCCGGCCCUCCGCAACGAACGUCUACCCAAGGACUUCAAAGGGCCUAGGAAGGUGCCUAAUUACACGGCUGAUUUACAACCCGCAGCCUGGAUCGAGAGCUAUGAGAUGGCCAUGGAAUUGUUGGAGGUCAGUGAAGCGGCGAUGGCUAAGUACUUCACCAUGAUGUUAGAUGGGACUGCCCGCACUUGGUUGAAAGGGCUACCACCGAAUUCCAUCGGGUCUUGGGCUGAGCUGAAAGCCCGGUUCAUCCAGAACUUCAAAGAUACCUGUAGGCAGUCUAUGUCAAUUGUGGAUUUGAUUAACUGUAAACAGCAGGAGGGUGAGUCUACGACACAUUGGGUUCGCCGGGUCAAAGAGAUAAUACAUUCAUCUGAUAAGAUGGAUGCCGGCUCUACAGUCUUAAUGUUAGAGCAGAAUUGUCGCUUCCUGCCCCUGAAGAUGAAACUCGGGCGGCUCAAGCGCGACUGCAGUGAUAUGGGUACGCUGAUGGCGGCUCUCGUCAAGUACGCCGACUCUGAUAGUACCAAGGACCCCGCUUCAGAUGAUGAGAGGGCAGGGAAGGGAAGAAAGAACGGCAAUGGCAAGGGUCCUCAGCAUAACCCGGCAAACCAAGGGGGUAACAAGCGUAAGGCUGAUGGCAGUAUGGAGUUUGUGGCCAAUGCCAACUCACAGCGUAACAACCAGCGACGUAAAGGGAGGCCGCCUCCCCGAGCUGGCGGGUCAGGCCCAACGCUCGAGCAGUUGUUGAAUGAGCCUUGUCCAAGGCAUGGAUCCAGGGAGAAGCCAGCUACUCAUCUAUGGAAAGAUUGUGCCAUCAUGAAGGCCUUUAAGAACUCCAACGCUUUUAAUGCCAAUAAUGGCCCGGGCGGCGGCUCAGGCGCCGGCGGCUUUCAUGGCCCGGGCGGCGGCUCAAAUUCUAAUCCACAGAACGGUCAAGGGGGCUUUAAUCAGCAGUCUGGCCAGGGUCAUCAACAGCAGCAGGGGGGUUAUCAAACCAAUCCAAAGCAGCUUAACGGUGGACAGUAUCACAUAUUUACCACCAGUCUGUGUAAACGAGAUCAGAAGCUUCAUAAGAGGGCUGUGAAUGCGGUUGAGCCGGCGGUUCCGCGUUAUUUAAGAUGGUCUCAACAGCCUAUUGUGUGGAGUAGGGAGGAUCACCCUCCCCGGGUUGACAACCCGGGUCACUUGGCCUUGGUGGUGGCUCCUCAAGUGGGAGGAUAUAAGUUCACUAAGGUGCUCAUGGAUGGAGGCAGCAGUAUCAACAUCCUCUAUUAUGAGACUUUCCGUCGUAUGGGGUUGAUUGAUAAGAACCUCAGCUAGUCAAACACUGUUUUCCACGGUGUGGUGCCUGGUAAGUCGGCUUAUCCAGUUGGCAAAAUUGAGUUGGAAGUGGCCUUUGGAGACGAGUACAACUACAGGGUGGAAAAAUUGACCUUUGAGGUGGUCAAGAUAAGAAGUCCGUAUCAUGCCAUAUUUGGGCGGCCGGCUUACGCCAAGUUCAUGGCACGACCGUGUUACGUGUAUUUACAGCUUAAGAUGCCGGGUCACAAUGGGACCAUUACGGUUCACGGCAGCCGGAAGGUGGCUUUGGAGUGUUAGGAAGGCGAUGCGGCUUAUGCAGAAUCUGUUUGUGCAACAGAGGAGUUGAAAUUCUACAAGGACAAUGUUGACCUAACAGAUAUGACCUCUCUGAAAAAGCCGAGUACGGAGCAUGAGCCGGCAGUGAAAUUUAAGUCGGCGGAUGAGACUAAACUUGUUGAUUUCGUUCCAGGUGAUUCAUCUCAGCAGUUUAGCAUCAGUGCCAAUCUGGAUCCAAAAUAGGAAAGCGCGCUCAUCGAGUUCAUCCGUGAGAAUAGGGACAUUUUUGCAUGGAAACCUUCUGACAUGCCAGGUGUACCUAGAGAACUCGCUGAGCACACUCUCAAUGUUGAUCCGAUAUUCACUACAGGAAUCAGCUAUUUUGCCGUCUGCCACGGCGGACGGCAAAGGCAUGAACGGCGGACGGCAAAGGCCUUUGCCGUCCGCCGCGGACGGCAAAAGGCCCCGGCAAAGUAGGCUACGAUAAACAGCUUCUUUGCCGUCUGUUUCCUGGUGGCUGACGGCAAAGACCCUUUGCCGUCUGCCGCGGACGGCAAAGAGAGCGGACGGCAAUAAUUGUGCUCUCAGUCCGUUAAGUGGCUAACGGCAGGCCUUUGCCGUCUGCCCGCGGACGGCAAACUUUCUAGUGUCUUUGCCGUCCGCCGUAUGAUGUCAUCUACAUGUCACCACAUGGCAGGCCUUUGCCGUCCGCCGCUGACGGCAAACUCAUUUACUCUUUGCCGUCUGCCACUGUAGGCAAAUUGACCAAAUGGGUCAGCUCCCAGGAAGCACAGCUGGAUGCCACGUGGCCUCUUUGCCGUCCGCGGCAGACGGCAAAGAGCCCGUUCCCGUCGGUGGCAGACGGCAAAGAGCCUGCAUAUUGGCUCUUUUUUCUGUUUUGUAUUAAAUCCAACAAUUUUCAACACAAAUAUAUAUGACAUAUAUAGAUAUAUUUCACAAGGCCAUUACAGAGCAAACAUAUAAGAUAUCCAACACAUAACUUCAUCAUACAUAGUUCCAUGCAUAGUUCCAUCAUACAUAGCAAGUUCAACAUAGAGGCAUCCAACCAUAUAUAUUACAAUAGUUUCAUCCAACGAUACAUGCAUAGUUCAACGAUACAAAAGAAACAGAGAAAGGGAUAAGGAGCACUCCAUCUAUGCAAGCUUUCGUCAAGUGAAUGAAAUCUGCAAAAUGAAAAAUAAGAAAGUUAGAAAUCGGUGACUAGAACAAGAAGAAUAGAACAAGAAGAAGACUAGAACAAGAAGAGUAUGUAAUUUAUGAGCUAACUUACGUGAAAUGGAUCAUAUAUGAGCUAACUAAGUUGAAAUGGGUCGUUUAUGAGCUAGCUAAGGUGAAAUGGAUCAUUUAUGAGCUAACUUUGUUGAAAUGGGUCGUUUAUGAGCUAACUAGGGUCAAAUGGAUCGUUUUUUAGGUAACUAAGGUGAAAUGGAUCUUUUUUAGCUCACUUAGGUCAAAUGGAUCAUUUAUGAGCUAACUUAGUUGAAAUGGAUCGUUUUUGAGCUAACUUUGUUGAAAUGGAUCAUUUAUGAGCUAAUUUAGUUGAAAUGGAUCUUUUUGAGCUAACUUAGGUGAAAUGGAUCAUUUAAGAGCUAAUUUAGGUGAAAUGGAUCGUUUUUAGCUAACUUGGUGAAAUGGUCGUUUAUGAGCUAAAUUAGUUGAAAUGGAUCGUUUAUGAGAUAACCUAGGUAAGAUGGGUCAUUUUGGAGUUAACCUAGGUGAAAUGGGCCAUUUUAAAGCUAACGUAGGUAAAAUGGAUCAUUUAGGAGCUAAUCUAGGUAAAAUGGGUCAUUUUUGAGCUAACUUGGAUGAACUGCAUCAUUUAUAAGCUAACCUAGGUAAAAUGGGUCAUUUUGGAGGAAAGAAGCUAACUCUAGGUCAUUAUGGUAAGCAUAUUGGAGGAAAUAAAGCUAAGUCUAGGUCUUUAUGCAUUUGUUAAGCAAAACACUAGAGAAACUUACCGUGAUCAGGGAGGUGUAGGAGCGGGGUGGCUAGUGCCGCUACCUGGAGAAGGAUCGUGCGAUGCGUUUCUGGAGUUAAGCUGCACCAAAGAUCAUUUCCAAUGUCUCGUUAGCAUUAUGACACUCAAAUGUUAAGACUAGCAAGUAAUGUCCAUUCAAAUUAAACUCACCGUGCUCCCAGGAGCAAUCACUGGCAUCGGCGGAGCGGGCUGACCGGACUUCUCGCACAUAGACUGCACAUUUGGUUUUCACAACAGAGUCAUACUAGUUAGUAAUGAGACUCAAAUGUUAAGACUAGCAAGUAAUCUGCAGAAGAAACUUACCACAAGGAGCUCGUACAUGGCCCUUAACUGCAUGUCAUUCCGUGCCCUCUCCUCCUCCAUCAUCUUUCUCGUCCUCUCCUCCAUCUCCCGCUGCCUCUCCGUCGCCUCCGCCAGAAGUUUCUCCGUUCUAUCUCUCUCAGUCUGUAUAGCAGCCUGCAACACCACUCACAUGACCAUUUGUAAUCAUUGAUGGAAGCGCACACAAUGUAAUGGAGAAAGAUAACUGAGUACGUAUCACUAACCUUGAUGGCGAGUUGUACUGGCCGUUCACGAGGCCUUAUCUCAGGAGCGGAGCUCGACUAGUGCGCCUUGAUCUCCGGGAGAGUGCUAGGACAAUGGAUAAGUCCAUCUCCAAUGGCUAUGGAACCAUGGGACCUCCCGCCACCAGAUAUCAUCACCAGCUCUGGAUCAAUGGGACCCUGGCUCGGGUUGAAGUCCUCCCCUUUCCUCCCCUUCCCCUCAUCUCUAUAUCUCACGAGCUUGUUGUGGGAGGAGAUGUUGGUGAAGUUGUUUGCAUCAUCGAGGUCAGACUGAGAGAAAGCCUUGACUUUCUUGAAAGAGGCAGUGUGGGCCAUGGCAUAUAGGUCGUACACCUUAUUGUGGCGUGCCUGAAAGAGAGAAACAAUGUAAAUUAGUAAUUAAAGGGCUCAAGCUAGCAUGAUGAAUGAAUUGCAUGAAUCAUGAAGCAAACCACAUACCCAGUUGCGCCCGAACUGAUAUAAGUUGGAGCUGCCUUGAUGGUGUGGCACACCUUCCAUUUGGGCACGUUUGUCCUUGGCCUCGUUGUGGAGGGCUAGCCAUUCUUUUGAGCACCACUCAUCGACCAACACCUCCCAACAAUCCAUCCGAUCCGCACACCAUCUCGGAGGCGCCUAAGUUAGCAAAUAGAAACUUGAGCGCUACGGCUAAGAAUUACUAAAUGAAGGAACUUAAGUAGAAGGCCUUAAGAAUUACCUUCAUGUACUGCUCCUUACUCAGGAACUUAUCGCGGCACGCCAGCUUGGUCUUCUUGAUACCACGCAAGGCGUAGUAGUCUCGAACAGCCUGCACCCGAGCAUCGUGCCGUAAGUUCUGGAGUAGGCGCUUGCAGACGUUCUCGAUAACAUGUGCCGCGUCCUCCUCGUAUCCCUCCUCACACCUGUAGAAUGUCUGCAAUCAAAUGAGACAAUAUUGAUUAGUACAAUUAAUAACUAGCUAGUUGAAGAUUUUUAAAUGUGUAAAGGAGAAAUUACCCAGAACUUUCUGAUCACCAUGUCUGCCCUCGUGUCGCACACGACACCGUCGAUAAUCUCAUCCGGCGGGGCCGGGGCAGCCACGUAGUGCUCCCAGCUCAAUCCAAGCUCUGGAAGCCGACCCUCACCAGGCAACAUGACAAACCCCGGGAAGUUUUGCCGGCAAAGAACUCCAAGGACGGAGUUGGGCCGGCGGACACUAUGAUGGUGGUCCCAACCCCUGCAGCAUGACAAGGCCAACGGAUUAGUUAUUUGAAGAAACGUGAAUGCACAAGGUACAAAAAUAUUAAAUGCACCUACGUACCUCUCCCCAUCAGGGAAAAUCAACCACCUCUGCUCGCGGGUCGCCGGCACGGACGGGAGCCGUGUAGCACCACGCUGGUAGACGGUGCCCCCCUCCUCCUCAAGAUCAGUCAGCUCCCCGCCAUCAUCAGCAUGGCCACUCGGCUCCUCGGGCUGAUCCGGCCAGGUACCCCAUCCGGACGUGUGCUCCUCCAGGGUCUCGUGGGCCGAACUCUCGUGGGCCGAAGGCCAGUCGACCCGAGGCUCGUGGGACCAAGACCCGUUGACCAGAGGCUCGUGGACCGGAGUCCGUGUAGCCUCCUCCUCGGACGAGUCCACCCUAGCAGUCACGUGCUCGGGUGAAACAGCUGGGGGUGGCGGCGAGGAUGGCGCCGUAGCAGUCACCCUACCUACUCUCCCACGACCACGUGCCCCACCUCCUCUCUUCCUACCUCGUCCCCUGCUGGACACCGCGGUCGACGAAGAAGGGCCCGGCGGUGUGGCCAUACUGUCCAGCAACGCUCGGCGGAGAGGUGCGUCUGGAAUGGAAGACCUCAGACCAUGCGCCGACGAAGAAGGGGCCUUGGCGCGCUCCCGACCAGCGCCCACCAUCUUUCAACACCUGCCAUGACAAACAGUAAACGAAAUUAGUACAACAUAAAAAAAAGACCGACAUGAAUAAUAAUAUGUGUAUCACUUAAGUGUAUCAUCAUCAAGUACAACAUAAAAAAAUUUAAUACCUGACACUACUAAUAAUCUCGAUCAGUAUCAUCAAUAAAUGCAUAAUCAUCAUCAUCACUAUAAUCAAUGACGAGCUCAUAGGGUUCAGUGGCAUCAACAUGUGGAAGGCCACCUUGACGUAAUCGGUCAAGCAAUGACAGGUCAUCCGCAGCAGUAACCUCUUCUUGUUCCGGCUCUUCUUGUUCCUCCUCUGGGGUGAUGUCGGAUUCACUGUCGCUGUCUACUUCAAUGUUUUGGGGUGAAGUAUAGCGGUUCUUGAAACGCUUUUUGGAAAGACGUGUCUCUUGGAAGAAUUCUCCUUCAUAUGUGUCUGGGUUAAUGUGAGGUUCAUAAUCCUCUUCCUUUGGGGGAGAUAGUCUAGCACGUGGCGGCACUUCAUAAACGACAUCCCAACCUUUCAGAUUUGGAUUAGUUUGGCAGGCCCACGGUAGAUAGAAUACUUGGGUCGCCUGUGAGCCGUAAUAUAGACAUCAGGAACAUCUAAAUGGGUGCUUUGGUUGAUUUCAACUAGCCCUAUAUGUUCAUGAGUCCUUCUAGUCUCCUUCGGCUGAAACCAAUAACAUUUGAAGACUACGACAUUCGGUGGGUUUUCACCAUAGAAUAGAAGUUCAUAAAUUGCUUCAACUCUCCCAUAAUACUCGAUACCUCCUUCGCCGAUAGCAGAUACACAACAAUUUGUAGACUUCCGGUCGGCCAUAGAUAGCUCUUUGCCAUAGGUACAAAAGCGAUACCCGUUGAUGUCGUAUUUGUCAAAUGAACGAACCUUAUAGUCAAAACCAUUAGCGACUUGUCUCAAUUCGGCGUCCAUAGACUCUGAAUUAGCCUACAAGUUUAAUAUGAAAGGAUUGUUGCAUUACGCACAAAUUAGCGAAUGAAACCAGGAUAGCCGCCUACAAAUUAGCCUACAAGUCUAAUAGAAAUUACCGUUUGUUUGAACCAAGAGAUGAAACCGGGAUAGCCGCCUCCUUGCUUUGCGAGAAGCUCAUACUCUUCGACAGAAUCCUUUUGGAUCACCGCUUCAUACGAGAAUAAGGCGACGUAUCGACUGUAUGAAAUAUCCAGGAAUAAGAGCAGUUCAAAGGAAAUAGAAGUUGCGAAACUAUGUACCGAGAACUUACUCGAUGUACGGCCGCACUUCUAUCAGGUUGUUGAAGAUAUACAACGAAAUGGUCCGCCAUUGUUCGUUAUCCAAAGAUACUGGAUUUGAAACACUGGCUGGUGCGAGAUUCCCUUUGAACUGGCUGAGGUUGGAUCCACCCUUUUUAGGGUCGUCAGCAUUGUACCGAGGCUUCGGAUUAUGCAAAUGACGAUUUUUGGCUUCGUAGUGUGCUGUCACGAAGUUUGCCGCCUCCUCAGUGAUGAAUGCCUCAGCCAUCGAUGCUUCAAUUCUACGUUUAUUUUUACAUUUUUGUCGAAGCGUCUUCUGCAUCCUCUCAGUUGGGUAGCACCAACGAUUUUGCACGGGCCCCCCAAAUCUUGCCUCGGUCGGGAGAUGCAAAAUCAAAUGUUGCAUUGGAUUAAAGAAGCCCGGUGGAAAGAUCUUCUCUAACUUGCAGAUCAACUCCGGCGCCAACUCUUCCAUUUCUUCUAGCACGCCAGGCGAUAGUUCUUUCGCACAAAGAACACGGAAGAAAUAGCUGAGUUCUGCCAGUACUAGCCAUUCAUCCUCAGGGAUGAAGCCACGCAACAUCACCGGCAUUACCCGCUCAAUCCAUAUGUGCCAAUCAUGACUCUUGAGACCAAAUAUCUUCAAUUUAUCAAGACUGGCUCCCCUCUGUAGAUUCGCUGCAUACCCAUCGGGGAACAUCAACAGCAUUUUCACCCACAAGAUAAUUUCCCUCAUAGCUGGCCUUCCAAGAUUGAACCAUGCCUUUGGCUUCGUCCAGUUCUGCUUUCCUUUCGGUUCUUUCAUGUUUUGUAACGGCCUAUCACAUAGCGCCUCCAGAUCGACUCUAGCCUUAGUAUUAUCCUUUGACUUCCCAUCUAUGCUGAACAAUGUACCAAAAAGUGCCUCGGCGAUAUUCUUCUUAGUGUGCAUCACGUCGAUGUUGUGUGGGCAAAGGAGGUCUUUGAAGUAAGGCAGAUCCCAUAAGCAUGUUUUGUGAGUCCAGGCGUGCUUAGAAUUAUACCCCUUGAAGUACCCUGGACGCUCUGGAUCUGGCUCGAGAGCGUUUAACUGAUCCAGGGUCUGUUGGCCUGUCAAUGCAGGUGGUGCAGAGUUUUUGACAACUCUACCUCUGAUGAAGUUCUUCUUGUCUUUCCUAAACUUAUGGUGAGGAUUCAGGAACUGUCUAUGCAUGUCGAAGCAAGAAAACUUGCGACCGGCCGGAAGCCAACAAAACUCAAGAGCUCCCUUGCAUGUGGGGCACGGGAACCUUCCAUGCACACACCAGCCAACGAAUAGCGCAUACGCCGGCAAGUCAUGCGUCGAGUACAUGUACCAGACACGCAUUAUGAAGUUCCGUUUGCUAUAGGCGUCGUAUGUCUUGAACCCAUUAUCCCAGGCUUCUUGCAAUUCGUCCUUAAGCGGUUGCAUGUACACAUUCAUAUUUUUCCCUGGAUAGUUGGGCCCUGGAAUUAUCAACGUCAGGAAAAUGUUCUUUCUUUGCAUAAUCUGUCCGGGGGGGAGAUUGAGUGGAAAGACAAAUACGGGCCAACAACUGUAUUGGGCUGCCGUGAUACCAAACACACUGAACCCAUCCGUGCUGAUGCCGACUCGAGGAUGCCUCGGAUCUGCCACUUUGUCACCAUGUAAUUCAUCAAACUUUUUCCAUGCAACACCAUCCGAUGUGUGUACAAUCAUCAGAUUCCCAUCUGCAUCUAGUUCGGUUCUUUUGCCCGUUUUGUGCCAUGUCAUCUGUCUGGCCGUCUCUUCGACCAUGAAAAGACGUUGAAGUCUUGGUACGAUUGGCAUAUACCGAAGAACACUAACGGGGAUUUUGGUCUGUGUCUUCUCACCCAUACCGUUGUCUACCACAACAUACCUGGAAGACUUGCAAAUGGGACAAUAGUUCAAGUCCGCAUAGUCAAGCCUAAACAAGACACAUCCUUUCUCACAGGCAUGUAUCUUAUCAUAGGGCAUCUUCAGUGCACGGAGGAUUUUGUCCGACUGGUACAGGUUUGCAGGCAUUACAUGGCCUUUGGGUAGAAAGCGUCCAAAUACUGUCAUCAUUGCAUCGUAGCAUUCUCUGCCCAAGUUGAACUGAGCCUUCAGAGCCAUUACUUGUGAGAUGGCAUCCAACUGACAAAGCUCAAUGUGCUCAUGGAGCGGACGUUUUGAAGACUCCAACAUUUCAUUGAAGGCCUUUGCAGAUUCCUCCAUCUCCUCGUCCGAAUCCCGAGCAUCAUCGAAGUCUUGCACCAUGUUUUCCAUCCCGGUACCAUGCUCGUCGGUGCGACGACGAUCCACCUCAGCUCGGUCACGUUGGGCAGACUCACCAUGAAAUGUCCACACCGUAUAAUCGGGCGUAAAACCACUCUUUUGCAGGUGUUUGCCCAUUUCAGCCUCUGUCCUCUUUUCCCAAUUGCCGCACCGUAAACAAGGGCACCAGGUUUUCCUCUGACCAUUUGCAAAUGCGGCUCGCACAAACCCCUUGGUUUUUGUGAACCAUUCAGUGCUCCAUUUGUUCUGACCAGUGUACAUCCACGCACGAUCACUCAUCUUGACUUUCAGAGCUACUAGACACACAACAAAUAUAUAUAUAUAUAUAUAUAUAUAUAUAUAUAUAAUUCACCAUGUAUAUAUUCAUCAGUUGAUCUACUUUUUCAAUUUUAUUACGUCCAUGCAACCUACACUCUAAUAGGUAAUGAUAGGUCCUAAUCCCACCCGAGUAUGUUUAGAUUGGGUUCAUUUUCCCAUGCUAUGCUCCGGAUCCUACGCAAAAUUUCGGCAGCACCUCCCCGCUGUUCUCCUGAUACACGUCUCUGCAAUAAACAGAGAGGAUGUGUACCCGGAGAACAACAGGGGAGGCAGUGACGAAAUUUAUGCGUCGGAUCCGGAGCAAAGCAUAUGGGAAAACGAACCCAAUCUAAAAUACUCGGGCUGUCCAUGGAUAGCGUUGGACAAUUCGAAAGAAUCAAGGUUAUAAAUAUGCAAAUGCAUGCAUAUUUAUAACUAUGACGCUUUCGAACGGGAGACACAUAUUGGUUACGCAUACUGAUGAUUCAAGACACAUAUAUAGCUAGCUAUCAAGUUUCAUUGAAAUAUAUCAAAUAAUUAAUGGGGGAGGAGGACAUGUCAUUUGUGCUCACCCACGAACGAAGGGGCAGAGCUCGUCAAACGCACGGCGAGGUCGUCGAACACCAAACCUCGCAGCGAUGAAACAACUGCACAUUUAAAACUACCCGAUCAACACAAUUAUAUAUGAUGUUUUUCAUAACAAAAUCGAAAAAUAUAUGACCUAACUAAUAAUUCACAAAUAUAUGACCCCGUCGGCUUCUGGAAGGCCAAAGAACACCUUUUCGGGAGGUGUCGGGGGUCGGGGUGUCGUGUCGGUGUCGGGGUGCCGUGUCGGGGUCGGGGUCUCGGGUCNNNNNNNNNNCUUGGCGCGCUCCCGACCAGCGCCCACCAUCUUUCAACACCUGCCAUGACAAACAGUAAACAAAAUUAGUACAACAUAAAAAAAAGACCGACAUGAAUAAUAAUAUGUGUAUCACUUAAGUGUAUCAUCAUCAAGUACAACAUUAAAAAAUUUAAUACCUGACACUACUAAUAAUCUCGAUCAGUAUCAUCAAUAAAUGCAUAAUCAUCAUCAUCACUAUAAUCAAUGACGGGCUCAUAGGGUUCAGUGGCAUCAACAUGUGCAAGGCCACCUUGACGUAAUCGGUCAAGCAAUGACAGGUCAUCCGCAGCAGUAACCUCUUCUUGUUCCGGCUCUUCUUGUUCCUCCUCUGGGGUGAUGUCGGAUUCACUGUCGCUGUCUACUUCAAUGUUUUGGGGUGAAGUAUAGCGGUUCUUGAAACGCUUUUUGGAAAGACUUGUCUCUUGGAAGAAUUCUCCUUCAUAUGUGUCUGGGUUAAUGUGAGGUUCAUAAUCCUCUUCCUUUGGGGGAGAUAGUCUAGCACGUGGCGGCACUUCAUAAACGACAUCCCAACCUUUCAGAUUUGGAUUAGUUUGGCAGGCCCACGGUAGAUAGAAUACAUGGGUCGCCUGUUGAGCCGUAAUAUAGACAUCAGGAACAUCUAAAUGGGUGCUUUGGUUGAUUUCAACUAGCCCUAUAUGUUCAUGAGUUGUUCUAGUCUCCUUCGGCUGAAACCAAUAACAUUUGAAGACUACGACAUUCGGUGGGUUUUCACCAUAGAAUAGAAGUUCAUAAAUUGCUUCAACUCUCCCAUAAUACUCGGUACCUCCUUCGCCGAUAGCAGAUACACAACAAUUUGUAGACUUUCGGUCGGCCAUAGAUAGCUCUUUGCCAUAGGUACGAAAGCGAUACCCGUUGAUGUCGUAUUUGUCAAAUGAACGCACCUUAUAGUCAAAACCAUUAGCGACUUGUCUCAAUUCGGCGUCCAUAGACUCUGAAUUAGCCUACAAGUUUAAUAUGAAAGGAUUGUUGCAUUACGCACAAAUUAGCGAAUGAAACCGGGAUAGCCGCCUACAAAUUAGCCUACAAGUCUAAUAGAAAUUACCGUUUGUUUGAACCAAGAGAUGAAACCGGGAUAGCCGCCACCUUGCUUUGCGAGAAGCUCAUACUCUUCGACAGAAUCCUUUUGGAUCACCGCUCCAUACGAGAAUAAGGCGACGUAUCGACUGUAUGAAAUAUCCAGGAAUAAGAGCAGUUCAAAGGAAAUAAGGGUGGGUGUGGUGUCAGGGUGUCGGUGUCGGGGUGUCGUGUCGGUGUCGGGGUCGGGGUCUCGGGGUCGGGGUGUCGGGUCGGGGUGCCGGGUNNNNNNNNNNNNNNNNNNNNNNNNNNNNNNNNNNNNNNNNNNNNNNNNNNNNNNNNNNNNNNNNNNNNNNNNNNNNNNNNNNNNNNNNNNNNNNNNNNNNNNNNNNNNNNNNNNNNNNNNNNNNNNNNNNNNNNNNNNNNNNNNNNNNNNNNNNNNNNNNNNNNNNNNNNNNNNNNNNNNNNNNNNNNNNNNNNNNNNNNNNNNNNNNNNNNNNNNNNNNNNNNNNNNNNNNNNNNNNNNNNNNNNNNNNNNNNNNNNNNNNNNNNNNNNNNNNNNNNNNNNNNNNNNNNNNNNNNNNNNNNNNNNNNNNNNNNNNNNNNNNNNNNNNNNNNNNNNNNNNNNNNNNNNNNNNNNNNNNNNNNNNNNNNNNNNNNNNNNNNNNNNNNNNNNNNNNNNNNNNNNNNNNNNNNNNNNNNNNNNNNNNNNNNNNNNNNNNNNNNNNNNNNNNNNNNNNNNNNNNNNNNNNNNNNNNNNNNNNNNNNNNNNNNNNNNNNNNNNNNNNNNNNNNNNNNNNNNNNNNNNNNNNNNNNNNNNNNNNNNNNNNNNNNNNNNNNNNNNNNNNNNNNNNNGUGGCGGGCGGUGGCGGCGGCGGUGGGGUGGGAAGUGGUGGCGGGGCGCGUCGGCGAGGAGAGAACAGAGUAACGGGCGGGGGGUACGGGCCGUUAGGUAGUGUCCUCUUUGCCGUCCGCCUCCCUUUGCCGUUCGCCCUUUUGCCGCUUUGCCGUCCGCUGGCAGACGGCAAAGAGGUGGGCCGUUAAGUUUAUUCCAAACGGGCGGGGGGUGGGGGCCACCUCUCUCUUUGCCGUCCGCCAGCGGACGGCAAAGAUUAUUUGCCGUCUGCUGGCAGACGGCAAAGAGCUCGCGGACGGCAAAGAGCUUCUUUGUCGUCUGCCAUUUCUUUGCCGUCUGCUUUUGGGUAGCUGAGGGCAAAGAGCUUCUUUGCCGUCAGCUAGCAGACGGCAAAGAGCUGGCAGAUGGCAAAUUAGCUGAUUCCAGUAGUGAUUUAAGCCGGUCAGGCAAUUCCUUCGGCGGUUUAAUGAAGAGAGGCGGAAAGCUAUUGGUGAAGAGGUGGCCCGGCUCUUGGCGGCCGGGUUUAUUGUUGAAGUCUUUCACCCGGAGUGGUUAGCUAACCCGGUGCUCGUACUCAAGAAGAACGGCACCUGGCGGAUGUGUGUGGACUACACGGACUUAAACAAGGCGUGUCCGGCUGAUCCUUUUGCCCUUCCCCGUAUUGAUCAAAUCAUUGAUGCUACGGCGGGUUGCGAGCGCUUAAGUUUCUUGGAUGCUUAUUCUGGAUACCAUCAGAUUAAAAUGGCAGUUAAGGACCAGGAGAAGACGGCGUUCAUCACUCCCUUUGGAGCCUUCUGCUAUGUAUCUAUGCCCUUUGGACUCAAGAGUGCACAGGCGACUUACCAGCAUUGCGUGCAGAACUGUCUUCAUAACCAGAUUGGGCGCAAUGUUCAUGCUUAUGUGGAUGAUAUUGUGGUUAAAUCCAGGAAGGAGGAAACCUUGAUAGAUGAUCUGAGGGAAACCUUUGAUAAUCUCCGGGUCUACAAGAUGAUGCUUAACCCGGCCAAGUGUGUUUUUGGUGUUCCUGCAGGCAAGCUCUUGGGUUUUUUUUGGUUUCUGACAGAGGCAUUGAAGCUAACCCGGAGAAGAUCAAGGCCAUCACCUCCCUGGCUAAGCCGGCGUGUAUAAACGACGUCCAGCGCUUGGCGGGUCGUAUUGCUGCUUUAAGCCGGUUUAUAAACGUUUGGGUGAGAAGGCCAUGCCAUUAUAUCAGUUGAUGAGGAAAACUGACGACUUUGUCUGGAAUGAUGCAGCAAAUACUGCUUUUGAGGAUUUGAAGAGGCAGCUGGCAGAGCCCCCAGUCCUUGCUGCUCCGGUUGACAAGGAGCCUUUAUUGCUGUAUGUGGCUGCUAACGCACGAGCCGUUAGUGUGGCGGUGGUGGUGGAGCACAAGGAAGAGGGCAAGGAGCAUCCGGUUCAGCGGCCGGUUUAUUACGUCAGCGAAGUGCUCAUUGAGUCUAAACAGCAGUAUCCGCAUUGGCAGAAGCUUGUUUAUGGUGUGUUCAUGGCAAGCCGAAAGCUUAAGCAUUAUUUCCAGAGUCACCCCAUCACUGUGGUCAGUUCUGCCCCCCUUGGAGAUAUCAUUCAAAACAGAGAGGCGACGGGGAGAGUGGCUAAGUGGGCUAUAGACCUCGGGCCUCAUGGUCUGAAAUACGUCCCACGCACUGCUGUUAAGUCUCAAGCCUUGGUGGAUUUCAUCAACGAUUGGACAGAGUUACAAGUGCCCGAACAAAAGCCGGAUAACACAUAUUGGACUAUUCACUUCGAUGGGUCCAGGCAAUUGGAGGGCUCGGGGGCUGGAGUCGUGUUGGCUUCCCCUAAGGGUGACAAGUUCCAUUAUGUGCUGCAGUUGAUGUUUCCUUGCACUAACAAUGCGGCUGAGUACGAGGCUUUGCUCCACGGUCUUCGGAUGACUAAGGAAAUGAGCCUGAGCCGGGUAAGGUGCUUCGGCGACUCAGAUUUGGUGGCUCAACAAGUAUCAGGCAAGUGGGAUUCCAAGGACCCUCUCAUGGCGGCUUAUCGACGUGAGGUUGAUGCUAUUGCUGGACACUUUCAGGGUUACCAAGUAGAGCACAUCGAUCGCAGGAAGAACGAGGCGGCUGAUGCUUUAAGCCGGCUGGGCUCUCAGCGAAAGCCGGUGCCGCCUAAUACUUUCCUAGACGUCUUGCAUAACCCUUCUGUUAAGUUGCUUACAGAGGAAGACUUGGCUGUCCCUGACCCGGAGGCACAGUUGGUGGCGGCUCUCCACAUCACCCCGGACUGGACGAUGCCUUACUUGGCUUACAUAACCCGGGGAGAUUUGCCUGAGGAUGAAACUUUGGCCAGACAAAUAGCCCGGCGGUCUAAGUCAAUGGUUGUUAUCAAUGGUGAGCUGCAUCGCCGCAGUGUUACGGGAGCGUUCCAGCGUUGUGUCUCCCCUGAGGAAGGUCAGGAGAUCUUGCGCGAGAUUCAUGAAGGGGAUUGUGGCCAUCAUGCCGGCUCAAAAUCCCUUGUGGCCAAGGCUUUUCGUCAUGGUUUUUAUUGGCUGACGGCUCAUGCUGAUGCGGAGGACUUGGUCAGUAAAUGUGAUGGUUGCCAAAGGUUCUCGCGACGGGCUCAUGUGCCGGCUCAGGAGCUGAGGAUGAUCCCAAUUACUUGGCCCUUUGCGGUCUGGGGGCUUGAUAUGGUUGGGCCUUUUAAAAGGUCCAAGGAUAAGAAGACCCACCUCUUGGUGGCAGUUGACAAAUUCACAAAGUGGGUUGAAGCAGAGCCAGUUAGCAGGUGUGACGCAGCCACGGCGGUUCAGUUCAUGAAAAGGGUGAUCUUUCGCUUUGGUUUUCCACACAGCAUUAUAACUGACAAUGGUACCAAUCUAUCCAAAGGCGCCAUGGAGGAGUUUUGUCAACGAGAGCAUAUUCGACUUGAUGUUUCAUCAGUGGCUCACCCUCAAUCCAAUGGUCAAGCUGAGAGGGCUAAUCAGGAGAUUCUGAAAGGCAUCAAACCCCGGCUUUUGGUCCCUUUGCAACGGAGGCCGGGUUGUUGGGUGGAGGAGUUACCUUCCGUGUUGUGGAGCAUCAAUACUACUCCUAACAGGUCUACGGGUUUCACGCCUUUCUUCAUGGUUUAUGGAGCAGAAGCAGUCCUCCCCAGUGACAUCCGUCAUGACUCGCCUCGAGUGGCGGCUUAUGUUGAGGCGGAUAAUGAACAGGCGCACCAAGAUGCUCUCGACUUGUUGGAUGAACAGCGUGAUAUGGCAGCAGCUCGCUCAGCGAUUUACCAACAAGACCUGCGCCGUUACCACAGUCGCCGGGUUAAAUCCCGGGUCUUCCAGGAAGGUGACCUGGUGCUCCGGCUCAUCCAGGAUCAGACAGAUACACACAAGCUAUCCCCGCCUUGGGAAGGACCCUUUGUUGUCAGCAAGAACUUGCACAACGGGUCAUACUACCUUAUCGACGUUCGGGAGCAUAAAGAUUCACGUAAGUCGGAGGAGGAGACCCGCCGGCCGUGGAACAUAGCUCAGCUUCGGCCUUAUUACACUUGAGCCGCUGGCUCUCGUAAUGUACAUAUUUCCAUAAGUCAUGUAUAUAUUAUGAUAAGCAAUAAAGCAGGACCUCUAUCCUUUUUUCUCCUCCAAAGGUAAAUGUGUUGUUUCUAUUACAAGAUCACGUGGUAACUUGGAGGUGGAUCCGGCUUAUGAUCGUAUUCGAAUCUAGCUGUACGCAAUAUAGUCACUUGGGGGCUUCCUGUUCAAACAUAGGUCGUAUUCGAACCAAAGAGAACAUAGCUGUCGAUACCCAUUUGUAUGGCAAAGUGCCGAGCUCAUUGGGGAAGUUUUCUUUGAUCAUAUUUGAAUCAUAGUUUAACCCCUUUGGGAACCGACGUGGAUCGUAUUCGAAUCAGCGUUGUUAAACAAUUCUUAAAGUCAUUUGGGGGCUUCCUGUUCAAACAUGGGUCGUAUUCGAACCAAAGAGAACAUAGCUGUCGGUACCCUCUUGAUUGGCAUCGCCACACCCACUGGGGGCUAUAUGAUCGCAUCCGAAUCUUAGCAUAACCCCUUUGGGACGGGUCUCUGGUCGUAUUCGAACCGGAAGCCCCUGAGUUUUUUCUGAUUUACAAAAAGUUCUUCUAAUUAUUUCAAUAGUGUGCACGGCGGGUCUCACUUUGCCGGCUUAACUUUGAUUUACAGUACUAGUCGAACACAAUCGGCGCUAUUAAAACUGGUAAACCGGAAUUGAGGUACCAACCUUCUUACCCGGGUUAUCUAAGCCGGAAAUGUGCUUGCAGGCCGGUAAGUGUGUUGUUACGGUUAUAUCAAGGACAUAAUUGAAGACCAGUCUUUUGUGAUUCAUCUUCCGGGUUAUAUAAGACUAUGAUUCUCCGUGCGGUAAGCCGCCUAGAGACUUGUGAUUUGUCUUUCUAUGCAGGAUAGUUAAAGACAGCUAUUUAAGCUUAAGGAAUAUGAAUGAUCGAGUAUGACCCGGAGAAAUAUACGGAAGCAACUUCAAUGGAAUUCAGCAUUCAACGUGUGCACGAUGGCACCACAAAGUUAAAGUGUUGGUCCUAUUCUAUUACAAGACUCAUUGAGUCCAAAAGGGUGAAGCAUUGUUUAAAUAAGCCGCCUACAGAGUUAAGAUGCUUGCUGGGUUGAAGCUUCCGGCUCAUCCCUCUCCGCUCCUCCGGUUGUUCCCAAGACCUGGAAAGUUGACGACUUCCAGUCAAUGCCGCUCAGAGCUUCAAAUUGAGCUUCCUCGUCAAUUAACCCGGCCGGGUCAAUUUCCGGGGCAAAGGUGUGCUUACGAGUCGGCGGGACUAAGUUGAUGGCUUCGUAACGCGGAGUGGGGAUCCUCUGAUUUUCUGCAUCAUAACCCGGCUGGUACUUGGUUAGACCUGUGUCAUUUCCAAUGAGGGUGGCCACCGGGCGCACGAUCUUCACGCAGGCUGCAAAGUCCUUUUGGUCGAAGGGUGUGCCGUCUUCCUUCAAGCUGGGAUAGCCGAGGGCAAUGUCCGCCGGGUCUAGUUCUAGAAGGAACGCCUUGGCCCGGCUCAAAGCAGCUAUGGCUCCGGCUCUUGCAGAGGCUUGCCGCAGCUCUUGGACCCGCUGAGGAAGAACGGCAACUCGGCAAAGAACUUCUGCCAGGUGAUUCGGCACCACAUUGGAUAGGGCCACCACGGCCAAGGCGCGCUGUGACCCGGUGUAGAGUUGCUCCACCAGGGUGUACACGGCCUUCAAGUUCGUCAGCAAGCUUUGGUUGAGGUUGGCGCUUCUUGGACCUGUUUAACGGAGUAGAGUAAGCCGCUGGCAAUGAUGGGAGUUACGAGACAUAAGGAUUGUAAACUUGAUGAAAGCCGGUGGGCUACUUACCGAAGAUGGCAGUGACCAUCUGUGACACAUGGCGCUUUAAGCCGGAGAGCUCGGCGGUUUUCUCUGUCCGAGCCUUCUCCGCCUGUUUGGCCCGGCUCACUAGAGUAGCCUUUUCUUCGGCCCAAGUUCUCCGUUCAGCUUCAAAGUCCUUUUUCAGCUUCUCUUGAGCAGCAAUACUGGACACAAAUUUGGCGUUGGCCUUCCGGGUCUCAGUUUCCUGCGUCCUUAGGCGGGUCUUCAGAUCAGAGAUGUCAGCCUCCAACUUCUUGCAAGCAGCCUGCACAAUUUCCGGGUUAUAAUAUGAACAAUCAUUUAAAGUCCCAAGCGCUUUCCAAGCAAAGACACUUGGCACUUGGGGGCUAAUGCAUAUCGAAAAGUUUCUAUCUACAAACUACCGGUUCAUGGAAGUAAGUCGGAAAUUAAGUCUACAACAUAUUCUAUCAUAAGUUGUAGACUUGGGGGCUAGUAAGGUAAAGAUGAUUAGGCAGUAAGCAGAAGAGUGGUACCUCAGACUUCUGCUGUAUCUGAUGCACCAUAUUGAUUUCCAAAUCCCGGCUCUUGUGCACUUGGUUCACAUAGCCGGAGACAAUCUCUCCGACGCUCAAGUUUGUGUAGUCGCUGAGGUCCAGAGUGGCCCGGUGGCGCUCUAGCAACUCCUCCUUGGCGGAGCACUUGGCCAGUGCAGUGGGUCUCCCCGGCUCAACAAAUUCCGUCCGGGUGAUUACCACGUCCGGGUCAUCGGCCGGCUGAGCCGGGCUGGAGGUCUCUGGGUUAGCAGAAGACUCUGCGGUUGGCUUAUCGGUUGGAGCAGCGGCUUCAGGAGUAGAGGCAACUGGCGGUUCUUGCUGUGACCUCCGGUUCAGGCAAGUCCGGGUCUUCGACCGGCUUGUUCCUCUUCGCCCUCUUGCUGAGCUUUGCCUGGGCACUGAAAGGACAACAAAGGUUAGUACAAAAGUAUGAGUAAAGAUAAGAACAACAAGAGAUGGUCAUCAUUACCCGGGUACGGUCUUGAAGGCCGGCAGGUUUCAUUGCAUCGAGUCACCAGAGGAAGGUGACGUUUCCUGAUAAUUCAAGUCAGAAGAAUUGAGAGGUUGACGUAUAACACCCGCCAGAGGAUGAAAAGGAUAUAAGUUGGAGAUAACCUCGGUCCGGCGCUUCCUUGAUGUCUCCGGUAAGCCGGAAGAUAGGUCAGCAUCCUUGUUGGUCCGGGUGUGCCGCCGGCUCUCAUGAAUCUGUUGCUUCAAAAGAAAUUGAGGAUCUUGAUAAGCUAAAGGAUGUGAAAACCUUACUUUCCGGGUUACCCUUCGUACUUUUAGCCUUGGCAAGGGCUCCGAGUCGGAGGAAAGUGUCAUUACCUCUUCAACCACCGGGUUGCUUGCUCCGGUGUCAUCCUGUUGGUAAACAAGUAUUGAUAAGAUGGACAGAAAUAAAUGACAAAUACGACAAGAGUCUACAAAUUCAGGGUUACCUCUGACUCGGAGCUGUCGCUUAGCUGCAUCAGCUCUGAAGCAGUAGGCCUACUUCCCUUCUUGCGGGGAGCGGUUCUCUUGGCGGCUUUCUUGGCCUUCCUGGCCUUCCUGGCCUUCUUGGCCGCUUCAUGGUCAUAUUUGACCUUCCAGAAUUUGUCAUCAGCCUGAAAAAUACAAUGACGAUUUCUUAAAGAUUUAGAUGAAAGCUAUCUACAGAAGAAAAUAAGAGGUUCAGAUCAGCGGCUUACCGCUGGGGCCGGGUUAGUCUUGCAGAACGGGCUUAAGCCGGUCCUCCCGCAGUCUGCCAAGCUCUCGUUCAAAAGAGCCUUGGUCAUUUCCUCAGCAACGUCUUCAGGAAGAUCGUUGCGGCUGUGUCUCAGGGGGUCAUCUUUCCGGCCCGUGUACUCGCACAUUAAGCCGGGGCGGCGGCUUAAGGGGAUCACCCGCCAUGAGAUCCAGACUCGGACCAGGUCAAUUCCAUAGAGACCAUUGCCCAGGAGAGCCUUGAUCCUGUUAAUGGUGGGGAGCAGAGGUUGGCGCUCUGCUUGAGUUAGCUUGUCUGACAGAGGGUGUGUUGGUUCCAGACGCGAGGGGCGAAAGCCGGGCAGCGGGCUCUCAUCAGCCAGCGAUGUGUCUUGGCAAUAGAACCACGUCUGCUUCCAGUCCUUUGGGUGGCUUGGCGGCUCGGCGUAAGGGAAAAGGCAGUCUCUCCGUCGCUGAAUGGAGAUGCCACCAAGUUCCAAGCUUGGCCCGUUGGCGCACUCGUUCUGACGGUUCAGGUAGAAGAGCUCUCUGAAGAGCAGCAGGCUGGGUUCCUCUCCAAGGUCAAAGAAAUUCAGUACAUCCCUGAAGAACUUUGAGUCGGGCGAUGCGAAGCCCCAGCUCAUGUGAUCCGCAAAUAUUACCACCUCCCCGUCCUUUGGCUGUGGUCUCUCCUCUGACGGGUCAGGGGCGCGGUAAGACAUGGCGUCCUUCUUGGGCAGGUAACCCGUCUUCACAAAGUCUGCUAAGGUUUCGUCGGUGACGUUGGACCUCAUCCAAUUGCAAGUGAUGGGUGCUUUAGGAGCUUUGGGACGCAUGGUGAAAGUCGGAAGCCUAUGAUAAAAGGAAACAUGCCGGUUUAAUUAUAAGCCGGGGGAAAUUUACAGUUCAAUGUUAAAGUGGCGGCUUAUGGAGGGGACUAAUGACAUAUAUCUAGGUGCAUCGGGCUAUCUAAGCCGCUGGAAGUAUUGAGAGUAAUUCGAUUGUCUACGACCUUAUCACAGAUGAGCCGGAAAAUUCUAUGGCGCAUGGCCUCCUUUGAGCCGGAAAAUUCUACGGCGCGUGGCUUCUUUAAACCGGAAAUGUAAACCGCCAUGGCUCAACGGGUGCAGUUUUUUACUAAGUGUGGUGAAAACAGGUUUCGCACAUUGCAGUAACUAAUUUGGAUCAAAACGGUCGGCUGAAAAGGAAAAUUUCUAGACCUAAAACCGAUGCAGAGGAAGUUCAUAAGCUCGGAACGAGCUCUUUUUGUAGACAGAAGGGAUCUACUAGCAUAAAAAUGAGUACGAGACCACUACCGCAGGAGUUCUACCCUAUUUCCGGAUCAAAAGGGGUCACGGUGGAAGAACUGUGAAGAACGCGGGAUGAACUACGAAGAACAGAGGAAGAACUACAGAACCCUAAUGCGGAUCUGCCCUAUGGAGUAGCGAGGACUUACCGGCGCUGAACAGAUGCGGAGGUUGCCGCCGUUUGUCUGGACCGAUUCAGGGUGAUGCAGCGGCCGAGGUUGACAAAGACCGGGGGCGCGGCGGCGGCGGCGGAGUUCGAGCUCUCGGGCGACAGAGGAAGAAGACGAAGAAGAGAGGAGUGAAUGGAGGCAAUGGGUCGGGCUAUUUAUAAGGGCCAGACUCAUAAGUGGGCGCGAGAAACAAGGAGGCCACGACGCGGUUAUCUCACCAUAAAAUGCCUCGAUUUUUGGGAUGGCAGUAUAGAUAAGAUCCGUUGCGGAUAUGGCGGAGUAAAAAAUGGACUUAAUGGAAGAUGACAUCACGGCGGAUCACCCGGAAUCAAGAGGAUGACGUCACGCCGGGUUAUGGCCUUCACACAAUCGUAAGCCGGAGAUUUUCUAUCGAAAGGAUUGAAGAUUGACAUGAGCCGGCUCAAAUCAAUCUGGGGCCUAAUGUUGAGGAUAUAGACCUUAGAGUCACCCACCCGGUGGGGCCGGGUUACUCAUAAGGGUCAUCGCCUGAAGCCCGGCGCCAAGCUUGAAGACGGUGGGCCAAAGAUGGGCUUAAGACCCGGUGACGGCUUAAGGCCCGUAGUCACAACCGCCUUUAGACAGAACUUGUAGUAUAAGGCAAGGAUAGUUGAGAGUCCGAGCCGGACACUCUUAUGAGCCGGCCGGGACUCUGAAAGCCGCUGGGUGUCAGCCUCUCUAUAUAAAGGGACGACCCGGCAGCGGUUUAGGGACAAGGAAGAUCUCAUCGAGAGCCAAGCCUAGCAAUUAAGCUCCCUGGUCCUCGAAACCCUAAUCAAUACCACCUCAACUGGACGUAGGCUUUUACCUUCACCGUAAGGGGCCGAACCAGUAUAACCCUCGUGUUUCUUGUCCCGUUUAACCCCUUCAAGCUUCCUAGUUGCGAUGGCUCCACGACUAAGUCCUAGCUCGAGGACAUCUGCCGUGAUAAUUCCACGACACCGCUGGAGCCCCGAACGCCACCGCCCGCCGCCCCACGACAUCGCCCGUCGCCUCCCCGAGCCCCGCCGCCCCUCGCCGCACCCCCGAGCCCCACCGGAGUUGCCCCGACGAGGUAGCCGCAGCAGCCGCCGACCGUCCAGUUUUUUUCAAAAAACCGCUUCGGUUUAUUUUUUUUAGAACCCUAGGUUUAUUUUUUUAUGAUCGGUUCAUUUCUUUUCUUCGGUUUAGUUUGUUAGUGAACGUUCACCGAUCUGUUCGUUUUAACGAACGUGUUCGUUGGUUAGUCGCUGUUAGCGAACAUGCGUGCAGUUGAUGAGUGCUUAUUGUAUGCUUGUUUGUUUGCGAUAGAGUACCCGGAGUGCGCCGCUUGCUACUUCGAAUCUCUAGGUUUCACGGAUCAUCAGCAAGGCAAGUAACACUUUGAUCAUAUCUCUUUACUACCCAGUUUUAUUGCAUUAGAUCAACCCUCAAACAUUGCAUGGUUAGGAUCUAAUUAAAUUGUGGGAAUUGGGAAGUAGUUGAGGUAGUACCUAUUACCUGUUUAUUAUCAAACCCUUGGGAGUUACUUCUGCGUUGCUUAUAUCGCUAUGCUAUGCUCGUAGACGUGGAUUGGGUUUGAGAGAUAUUCACGACAGAUGUGAGAUUGUUAAUUAAUGGUUUACUUAAGGUGGCAACUAAACUCACAUCUGGGUGGAUUGAGGUACCUGGGUAUUCCAGGAUUGCCUGUGUUUUUCUUUUGGACCUCCACCCAGGUUCAAAGGGAUCAUGAGAUUAUUCAUGCUAGAAACUUCCGUGUGCAGCCGCAAGCUAUUAUGGUCUCUAGCAUAGUCGAGUAAGUUGUGGGAAACCUUUCCAUGAUAGGCUAGCAGAUGUAGGGGAUUGUAGGUGUAUCGGCCUAUCUAUCGGUUAAGGGGACCUCUUCGGAAAGACUGUGUCUCGGUCAUCCGUUUCUCAAACAUCAUGUAGUGUGAGAAUCAAGCGGAGGCGAUCGAGUCUUGUGGGAAAAGUUUACAAACCUCUGUAGAGUAUAUAAACUAAUCAUGGUUAGCCGUGUCCCCGGUUAUGGACGUUUUGAGUAUCUAGUAUCUGGAUUAUCAUGUGAAUCUCAUCACCAUGUUACUUUAAUUAAUUUUGUUGGGUUAAUGAUGAUAACUUAAUUGGGAUUGAGAUGCUGUCAACCAUCUCAAUGUUUAACAACCACCAUGAUAGUUAAAUAAAAUUUAUUCCUUUGCAGUAGGGAAAAAUUGGCUUUUCGCAAAACAGUAACCAUAGAGCUUUCCACAAGCCAAAUAUGCAAGUAG